GUGCUUGCUUCAUCAGCAUAUAUACUAAAAUGAGAAUGAUACAGAGAAGAUUAGCACGGCCCCUGCACAAGGAUGACACACAAAUUUGUGAAGCAUUCCAUAUUUUU